AUUUCAUCAAGAGCGGCGGAGGGACAGGCCCGAUGAAGCCCGGCAACCGGCAAACAAGCCUGCUUGCAUGGUGCCAAUUCCUGCAGAAUCCCGGAUUCUGAGAGAUGAAAC
rnacentral:ncRNA from 2 species